CACGUAGGCGGACAUUUAAGUCAGGGGUGAAAUCCCAGAGCUCAACUCUGGAACUGCCUUUGAUACUGGGUGUCUAGAGUAUGGAAGAGGUGAGUGGAAUUCCGAGUGUAGAGGUGAAAUUCGUAGAUAUUCGGAGGAACACCAGUGGCGAAGGCGGCUCACUGGUCCAUUACUGACGCUGAGGUGCGAAAGCGUGGGGAGCAAACA
rnacentral:rRNA from 1 species